GCGAGAGUGGUGAAACUGGUAGACACGCCAGACUUAGGAUCUGGUGCGAAAAGCAUAAGGGUUCGAGUCCCUUCUCUCGCA
rnacentral:tRNA from 1 species